rnacentral:rRNA from 1 species
GUUAAGUUGCAGGGUAUAGACCCGAAACCCGGUGAUCUAGCCAUGGGCAGGUUGAAGGUUGGGUAACACUAACUGGAGGACCGAACCGACUAAUGUUGAAAAAUUAGCGGAUGACCUGUGGCUGGGGGUGAAAGGCCAAUCAAACCGGGAGAUAGCUGGUUCUCCCCGAAAGCUAUUUAGGUAGCGCCUCGUGAAUUCAUCUCCGGGGGUAGAGCA